CUAUAGCUCAGCUGGGAGAGCGCCCGCCUUGCACGCAGGAGGUCAGCGGUUCGAUCCCGCUUAGCUCCACCAU
rnacentral:tRNA from 1 species